CAUGGCUACAGAACGAACGCUGGCGGCAUGGAUUAGGCAUGCAAGUCGAACGGUGCAGCAAUGCAUAGUGGCGCAAGGGUGAGGAACGCGUGAGUAAUCUGCCCUCAAGUUGGGAACAGCUUCUGGAACGGAAAUUAAUACCGAAUGUGACCUGCAGGAGGCAUCUUUUGCAGGUUAAAGGCCGCAAGGUCGCUUGAGGAGGGGCUCGCGUCCCAUUAUGCUAGUUGGUGAGGUAACGGCCCACCAAGGCGAAGAUGGGUAGCUGGUCUGAGAGGACGAUCAGCCACACUGGGACUGAGAACUGCCCAGACUCCGUACGGGAGGCUGCAGGUCGAGUAAGUUUUGGGCAAUGGACGAAAGUCUGACCCAAGCAAUGCCGCGUGCGGGAUGAAGGUCUUCGGAUUGUAAACCGCUGUCAAGUGGGACGAAACAAAUGACGGUACCGCUGAAGGAAGUCACGGCUAACUACGUGCCAGCCGCCGC
rnacentral:rRNA from 1 species